AAAACUCAAUAAGUGUUAAAAACAACUUGUAAGUGAAGUAUUAAAUUUUCAAUCUUAGAGUAAUACAAUAGUAAUAUCCUAUUUGUUAUAAGCUGACCGUAGAAAAUAUGGUUAAAAUUGUUAAUUUUGUUCUUGUUAUGAUUAUUAUUUUUUCUCUAUUUUUUGUCACUACAAGCGUGGUGGAACUUAAAUGUUAUCGUGAUGAUGAUUGUCUAUCAAGUGGUUGCCCCUCUACUUUAAUACCUGUGUGUAUUUUGCAGAUGUGUAUGUGUGUUUGAAUGACUUCACAUAUGAAAUUAUGAUCAGAUCCUAUAAGAUUCCCUUAGUUAUGCUAUUGACAUUUAUAGUUUGUUUGUAUUAGUUAUUUUUUCAAAUUUUAUGGACUAUAGUAUAAAUAAGGUAUAAAUAAUAUUAUGUAAACUAUCUUCUUCUCUCUUAGUUUGGAAGAUAGCACCGUGGCCUUCAAUUUAGGCAUAUGUAUUUACUUUGCAACCUUAUUGUCUAUUAGAAUAUUUUUCAUAUAUGUGUUGAAAAUAGUUUUUGUGUUACUUUAAUAAAGUCUAUCAAUUCAUAUUUAUGGAAAACUAAAAAGUCACUACAAAAAUAUAAUAGUGUAGUAAGAUAAAUGUUCAAGUCUUAAUUACUUUUUAUUUUAGUUAUUCCACUUCAAUUUAAUAGAUUUGGUCGUGACUCUAUAAACUAACUAAUAAAUUGCUGUUAGGCUUAGUUUGCAUGUUUUAAACUCUACUUGCAAAAUUUGAUGAACUUUUACCUCGGUUAAAAUAUAGUUUUUAUCUUAGUUAGGUGAAUGAGAUAACUUAAAAUGUUAAUUGAAAGUGAUGGAACAUUUAAUUACUGUUGGAGUUGGAGAAGAUGAUUGUGUUUGAGUUGGCUGAGGACUAAGACAUUUGGUUUUUAGGGUUUUCUUGUAUGCGUGGGAGAGAACAAGAAAAUGUGGGGUGGUUUUAGUGAAAAACAAUGUACUAAAAGGGAAACAAAAAGAAAGGAAAAAAGAUGGGGUGUUUCUCUCUUUAACUUCAGGAGAGGGAAAAUUAAUGUAAAAGUGAAAUAUGAUUGUAUGAUUUAUAUUAUUACUCCGGGUAUAAGACACUUAUACUAAUGGUAUUAAUGAUUGUCACAAAAGCUAUUUGUCACAAAUUUGUUAGGCCUAAGGUAUAUAAAUUUUAAAUGUAUUCUCUCUAUUUUUUGGUAUUUUUUUUGUUUUUGUUUUUUUGCUGUUUAUUUUAUUUUUGUUGCACAUCUCUCUUUUUCUCCAUCUUCUUAUUUUUGUUUAUUUAUCAAAUUUAAUAUAACUAUUUUAAAGACCAAAAUUUUUACCCUUCCGGUGUUUCGGUGUCACUUGGCCAACAAGGUUAAAUCGUGUAUUUUCAUUUAUUUCUGGGAUGGCCUAGGGGUCAUUCCUCAUAGAUUCUUUUUAGAGACAUUACCCUAUUUGUAAUCAGGAAAAAAAAAAGAAAGAGAAGGUGGGUGAGAUAGGGUCUUGAGUUAAUGAGACUUUAAUCAGGAAAAAAAAAGAGAAGGUGGGUGAGAUAGGGUGUUGAGUUAAUAAGACUUUAAUUUGUAACUUUCAGAGGGUAAGAACUCUCUUUGAAUAUGAGUUAGAUCUAGUUAAUGACAUUCUUCUUACAUUUCAGGACUACUCUUUCUUUGGAGUCUGUUAAUGUUGGAUUCAUGCAGAUGAGGCUUUUCUUGGAAUUGGAGGGGUCGGGGGAAGUCCUAAGUAUCUCUGACCGACCUCUAUGUCAUUUUUCGGUGUGGAAUAAAACUGAAUCGCUUUGGAUCAGUUUUGAAAAAGUAAUUGUGAACAAGCGCAAUUAAUAUGGUUUCAUCAUUGAGACGCUUCUUCACUCAUUCCUAACAUGUGCGAUGAUGUGAUCAAUUAGGGUGUGUUACAAUUCAUAUAAUGCUUAAUUGUACUUAAGGUUAACAUGUUUCUAUGAGUGGAAUUCAAGUCGUUAAUCUUCUGAUCUUUGUUCAUAGUUGGUCCUGAUUUUUUAGUUGUCAUUGCUGA